CAUCGCGGCAGUAGUGACGCUCUGUUUAUGGACGGGCCCAUCAAAGAAUGUUCGCAUUUUCCACUUUGCGGUGUUCGCCUCGUUCCAUAAUUCACUGCUUUGCUAACAUGGAAUAAUAUUUAGUGAGAGGUUUUCCGCGUGGAUCGAGGGAGUGAAAGGAGUGGAGAAGCAUCCGAGGGAAAGUAACACACAGCUCAGGUUUGCCUCGCUUUUUUUAUCUCGCUCGAUCUUUCCUUAAAAUUUUAUCUACGCGCGAAGACGUUCAUGCGGUGCUCCACGGAAAUAAGUGUUGCGAGGAGAUCUGUAAGCGAGAGAGAGGAUAAAGAAACCCAGGAAAAAAGGAUGAAAGCGAAAGAGAACUCCGCAGGAAAGUUACACGAGGAAAAGAACUUGCGACAAAAAGUCUUGGGUACGCUGCUGCUCCAUCCACUUACGUUUUUCCUCCUUUUGUGAUCAGGAAUAAAGAUACUGACGCUUUCUUCUUGAGGCACUACGAGUGUAUCGACUGGAAUACUUUCCGCAUCGCAGGCUGUAAACGAGAAAAAGUUUUCGCGUCUGGAAGAACGAGCAGGUCAGAUCACAAUGGACAUUGAAUUGAGUCGCCUCCGAGUUUAUCCGAGAGGAUCGGAGGAGCUUCCUGUCGGAAGGAAAGUGAUAGAUACGAAAAAAGUGAAGGGGCCUGAUUCGCAGCUGUACACGUCGAUAUGCCCGAUGGUUUAUGCGAUAAGAGUGUUCGGUCUCGCGCCUUACGAGUUCCACAACGAUAUGCUUGUACCGUCGAACAUAAAUUGCAUUUUUUCCUACGUGUGUGCUUGCAUCUACACGUACAUAAUAUAUACGAUCCUGGCGCGUUUCACAGGGAUAACGCGAGAGCAGCCGCUUCUCGAUUACACCGAAACUGGAAAGACGAUCUGCAACUACUGCAUGGCAAUGUGCAACAUCAUCGUGACGUUAUUCUCGAGAGAAAAAUUCGCAAAGGUCUGGAACACGAUCCAGGACUACGACGAGACCGUGAAAAACUUUGGCUACACAAGGAACGAGAACAGAGCAUUUUUAUGGUCGUGGAUCAUACUGAUCGGCAGUGUUAUCUUAUGGAGCACCAUAAGCCUGUCUGGUAUCGAUGCAUUCGCACAGCCUUGGACUGAAAACGUCGCUUACAUGAGCAUUUACGCUGGUACUUCACUCUCGGUAAUAAAGUUCUCCGGGAUCACGAUGCUGCUCGGUCAACGCUUCAAGCAUCUCAAUGAAAUCGCUAAAAAAAGCAACCCUGCUGGAACUCGACGGUGGCUGGGUAAUCCCGUGGUUGCUACGAAGGACGUCGAGCAACUUCACAACACUCUGAUGAACGCGAGCGAAUCCUUAAACACCCUGUACUCGGGCUCGCUCCUACUCUGGCUGGGAACCCUCACUUACUACGUCAUCAGCGCAAUUUUCUUCCUGCUUCAACGAGCGCUGUACUUCAAAUGGGAGCAUUUCACUUGGGAACACGCGGAAAGGAAAAUAUUGACUUGUCUGAUAUUGUGGACGUUGGCCUACCUCGCUCAGAUAAUUUUCCUCCUCUACGCCUGCCAUUUCACAUCUGAUGAGGCAAAUAGCACCGCUUAUAUUUUGAUGGCCUGGAAACGGUGGUUCAACACUUCAGGGUUCUCACGAGGUCGAUACGAGCGUGUGGAAACGUCGAUGCACCUGAUGAAUCGAAGACUAAACUUCGCUGCCGGAGGCUGUUUCUACGUGAAUUUACCGCUGUUGAGAUCGAUCACAACUCUGCUGGCAACGUAUUUGGUGAUACUCCUCCAAUUCCCAGAUUGAGCCACGAGCCCGAUAAAAGAGAGUUUGAAAUAAAUAUUUGUACACAAAAUUUUCAGGUCACUCAAUAAAUCGUGAAAAAUUGACGAAUGAAACGGAGGAACGUUGAUAAAUAUUUCACUGCUAUUUUUUCAUAAUUAUUUCGCUUUCACAAUAUUUUUCAAAAAAAAAAACAAAAUUUCGUUGUAUUCAAUUAAAAUCUUGCAAAUUCGCUUUGUCCUUGAGGAAGUAAAUUAUCGGAUCGCGAUGAUGGAACUUUUGCGCUAUCAAAGGGAACACGAGUUUCUUCAGUAUCCAAAUGAGUGAUUAUGAUAAACACGUUUAACGGCAAGGUAAUAUAGUUCGGAGUGAAAGGGAGUGAGGGCUGCGCGUGCACGAGACGUCUAGGAUCAAGACUGGAUUUACGAUCUUUGUGGAGAUGAAGGAGAAAAAGCUGCAACGACCCAGAGAGAUACGGAGAAUUUCGCUUCAACUCGUGGCGGCUCUACGCGUUUUCAAAUUAAUCUGAAAAAUACACGUGCAUAA
rnacentral:misc_RNA from 1 species